rnacentral:rRNA from 1 species
GCUUAACCGGAGAAGUGCAUCGGAAACUGGGAGACUUGAGUGCAGAAGAGGACAGUGGAACUCCAUGUGUAGCGGUGGAAUGCGUAGAUAUAUGGAAGAACACCAGUGGCGAAGGCGGCUGUCUAGUCUGUAACUGACGCUGAGGCUCGAAAGCAUGGGUAGCGAACAGGAUUAGAUACCCUGGUAGUCCAUGCCGUAAACGAUGAGUGCUAAGUGUUGGAGGGUUUCCGCCCUUCAGUGCUGCAGCUAACGCAUUAAGCACUCCGCCUGGGGAGUACGACCGCAAGGUUGAAACUCAAAGGAAUUGACGGGGGCCCGCACAAGCGGUGGAGCAUGUGGUUUAAUUCGAAGCUACGCGAAGAACCUUACCAGGUCUUGACAUCUUCUGCCAAUCUUAGAGAUAAGACGUUCCCUUCGGGGACAGAAUGACAGGUGGUGCAUGGUUGUCGUCAGCUCGUGUCGUGAGAUGUUGGGUUAAGUCCCGCAACGAGCGCAACCCUUAUUAUCAGUUGCCAGCAUUCAGUUGGGCACUCUGGUGAGACUGCCGGUGACAAACCGGAGGAAGGUGGGGAUGACGUCAAAUCAUCAUGCCCCUUAUGACCUGGGCUACACACGUGCUGCAAUGGACGGUACAACG